rnacentral:rRNA from 1 species
GACGGGUACCCGGCCUGAGAGGGUGCAAGCGGACACACUGGAACUGAGACACGGUCCAGACUCCUACGGGAGGCAGCAGUAGGGAAUAUUGCUCAAUGGGGGAAACCCUGAAGCAGCAACGCCGCGUGGAGGAUGAAGGUU